GUCAGGAUGGCCGAGUGGUCCAAGGUGCCAGACUCAAGCUCUGGUUGGAGACGUGGGUUCGAAUCCCACUUCUGACA